rnacentral:rRNA from 1 species
GACGAACGCUGGCGGCGUGCCUAAUACAUGCAAGUCGAGCGAGCUGAACCAACAGAUUUACUUCGGUAAUGACGUUGGGAACGCGAGCGGCGGAUGGGUGAGUAACACGUGGGGAACCUGCCCCUCAGUCUGGGAUACCACUUGGAAACAGGUGCUAAUACCGGAUAAUAAAGCAGAUCGCAUGAUCAGCUUUUGAAAGGCGGCGUAAGCUGUCGCUAAGGGAUGGCCCCGCGGUGCAUUAGCUAGUUGGUAGGGUAACGGCCUACCAAGGCAAUGAUGCAUAGCCGAGUUGAGAGACUGAUCGGCCACAUUGGGACUGAGACACGGCCCAAACUCCUACGGGAGGCAGCAGUAGGGAAUCUUCGGCAAUGGGGGCAACCCUGACCGAGCAACGCCGCGUGAGUGAAGAAGGUUUUCGGAUCGUAAAGCUCUGUUGUAAGUCAAGAACGAGUGUGAGAGUGGAAAGUUCACACUGUGACGGUAGCUUACCAGAAAGGGACGGCUAACUACGUGCCAGCAGCCGCGGUAAUACGUAGGUCCCGAGCGUUGUCCGGAUUUAUUGGGCGUAAAGCGAGCGCAGGCGGUUUGAUAAGUCUGAAGUUAAAGGCUGUGGCUCAACCAUAGUUCGCUUUGGAAACUGUCAAACUUGAGUGCAGAAGGGGAGAGUGGAAUUCCAUGUGUAGCGGUGAAAUGCGUAGAUAUAUGGAGGAACACCGGUGGCGAAAGCGGCUCUCUGGUCUGUAACUGACGCUGAGGCUCGAAAGCGUGGGGAGCGAACAGG